GUCAGCGAUUUUCCGAGAUUUUUCCGCUUCCCAUGCUGACUUCUCGUUGUCUUGUAGAGAAGAUUAGCAUUGCCCCUGCAUAAGGAUGACAAACUCUGAGCGGAGAGGUGGUUCUUCGGAACCAAAUAUUU
rnacentral:snRNA from 1 species